AAAACAUGAUGAGGGCAUUUACUCAAAAGGCCUUUGAACCUUUCAUGUGCUUCAAAAAGUAUUCUAGAAUCAUCCUGCCUAAACACAGAAAUCUCUUGUCUCAGCUU